AGAAUUUGAUCUUGGUUCAGAUUGAAUGCUGACGGCGUGGAUGAGGCAUGCAAGUCGAACGGGUUUAUAUGGCAACAUGUAAACUAGUGGCGGAAGGGUUAGUAAUACAUGGGUAACCUACCUUUAGCUCUGGGAUAACUGCUGGAAACGGCUGCUAAUACCGGAUAAGGUUUCAUAACAUAAGUUGUGGUAAUUAAAGCAGGGGACUUUGAAAGAGGCCUUGUGGCAAAAGAUGGGCCCAUGGGAUAUCAGCUUGUUGGUGUGGUAAAGGCGCACCAAGGCUAAGACGUCUAGGCGGAUUGAGAGAUUGACCGCCAACACUGGGACUGAGACACUGCCCAGACUCCUACGGGAGGCUGCAGUCGAGAAUCAUUCGCAAUGGGCGAAAGCCUGACGAUGCGACGCCGUGUGAGUGAAGAAGGCCUUCGGGUUGUAAAACUCUUUCGCUUAGGAACAAGGGAGGUUAACUAAUAUUUAACUGACUUGAGGGUACUAGGUAAAGAAGCGCCGGCUAACUUCGUGCCAGCAGCUGCGGUAAUACGAAGGGCGCAAGCAUUAAUCGGAAUUAUUGGGCGUAAAGGGCGUCUAGGCGGCCAUGUAAGUCAAGUGUGAAAUCCUGGGGCUCAACUCCAGGGUUGCACUUGAAACUACAUAGCUAGAGGAUAGGCGGGGAAAACGGAAUUCCACAAGUAGCGGUGAAAUGCGUAGAUAUGUGGAGGAACACCGGUGGCGAAGGCGGUUUUCUAGCCUACUCCUGACGCUGAAGCGCGAAAGCAAGGGGAGCAAACAGGAUUAGAUACCCUGGUAGUCCUUGCUGUAAACGAUGCAUACUUGAUGUAGUCGGACUCAAUCCCGGCUGUGUCGAAGCUAACGCGAUAAGUAUGCCGCCUGGGGAGUACGCUCGCAAGGGUGAAACUCAAAGGAAUUGACGGGGACUCGCACAAGCAGUGGUGCAUGUGGUUUAAUUCGAUGCCACGCGAAGAACCUUACCCAGACUUGACAUGCAGAGCACAGCUACAGAAAUGUAGUCUCCCGAAAGGGGCUCUGUGCAGGUGCUGCAUGGCUGUCGUCAGCUCGUGCCGUGAGGUGUUGGGUUAAGUCCCGCAACGAGCGCAACCCUUAUCGUUAGUUGCCAGCAUUUAGGAUGGGGACUCUAACGAGACUGCCUAGGUUAACUAGGAGGAAGGUGAGGAUGACGUCAAGUCCGCAUGGCCCUUAUGUCUGGGGCUACACACGUGCAACAAUGGCCAGCACAGAAGGCAGCGAAGCCGCGAGGUGGAGCAAAUCUUAAAAAGCUGGUCCCAGUUCGGAUUGUAGUCUGCAAUUCAACUACAUGAAGUUGGAAUUGCUAGUAAUGGCGUGUCAGCUAUAACGCCGUGAAUACGUUCUCGGGUCUUGUACACACCGCCCGUCACAUCAUGGAAGUUGGUUUUGCCCGAAGUCGCUGACUCAACCGCAAGGGGAGAGGCGCCGAAGGUAAGGCUGAUGACUGGGAUGAAGUCGAGACAAGGUA
rnacentral:rRNA from 1 species